rnacentral:lncRNA from 1 species
UUCUUUCUAUUUCUCUAUCUUUCUCUCUUGUUCUCCUUCUGAUUUAUUUUCUUUCCAUAUCGAUUCGUACCAAUCCGAUCUGAUAUGGAUUCAUAUCGAUCAAUACUACUAAACGGAUCGAUGGCAUGAAUUUUGAUGCUGAGUCCGUGAAUCUUAGAUGCAGCUUUUACGUGUGUCCACCAAAAGAAAGUAGUCCAGAGAGAAGUCCC